UGAAGGAGGACUUGUUUCAACAAAAAUCUCACCAAUCUGUUCUUUCAGGAUUUCAUUAAAUGAUGACUUGCUGCUACCAUAUCCUCCUUCCCAGCAUGGCCCACGGCACCCUCACAGGCAUGUCAGAGACUGUCAAGGUGUUGUGCAUGGCAAUGUAACGCAUGAAGCCUGGCCCAGCGAUAGAAGUACAGGACUGCCAGUGGCUACCACAAGAAUGUUUGUUUCUGACAUCCCUCCAAAGGACAAGAAGCAAAGGAAGGUCUAUGGCCACUUCACUUUUGUGAGGAAUCCCCUGAGAACAUUCUCUGUGUUAGAGCCCGGUGGUGUAGGAGGUUGCAGUACCAGAUGGAGGGCCACUGUGGAAAAGACUGCAAGGCAUGGCCAGUGUCUCGUGGCUCAGAAUGGUGGCUACUUCGAUAUGGACACUGGAGAAUGCCUCGGGAAUGUUGUGAGUGAUGGGAGGCUGGUGAAGAAUGCUGGAGGCUUGCAGAAUGCACAGUUUGGCAUCAGAAAGGAUGGCACCAUGGUAUUCGGUUACCUUUCUGAGGAGGAUGUCUUGGACCCAGUGAAUCCAUUCAUGCAGCUGGUGAGCGGGGUGGUCUGGCUCUUGAGAAACGGAGAGGUGUACAUCAAUCAAAGCAAGACAGCAGAGUGCGACGAGACUCAGACCACAGGCAACUUUGACAAGUUUAUCAACGUGAUAUCUGCCAGGACAGCUGUGGGGCAUGACAGUCAGGGGCAGCUGAUCUUGGUUCACGUGGAUGGACAGACUGAUGCCAGAGGCCUCAGUCUCUGGGAAAUGGCAGACUUCCUAAAGCAGCAGGGCGUCAUCAAUGCUGUCAAUCUGGACGGUGGAGGCUCCGCCACACUGGUCCUGAAUGGAACCCUUGCGAGUUACCCUUCGGAUCACUGUUCCUUCAAUGGCAUGUGGCGUUGCCCUCGGGAUGUCUCAACUGUCAUGUGCAUACAUGAGCCUACCUGCGAGCCCCCAGACUGCAACAGCCACGGGCGCUGCGUCCUGGGAGAGUGCCAGUGCAUUGGAAACUUCUGGAGAGGACCUAACUGCAGCCUCUUGGACUGCGGCCCUUCCAACUGCAGCCUGCAUGGCAUCUGUACUGAGUCUGGAUGCCUCUGUGAUGCUGGCUGGAUAGGCAGCAACUGCAGUGAAGCUUGUGCCAGUGGCUUCUACGGGGAUGGCUGUGCCCAGAGAUGCCUCUGUCAUAAUGGUGGAGAGUGUGACCCAGUGCACGGAUCCUGUACCUGCCCAGCAGGCUACCGCGGAGCCCUCUGUCAGCAAGAGUGCCUCAUUGGCCAGUACGGACCAAACUGCCAGAAGACUUGUGAGUGUGAACAUAAGUGUCCUUGUGACCAGGAGACUGGCAGCUGCAAUAUUACUUAUCCAUCUACACUGCAGGACCAGUUAUCCAGAGCCGGUCAGUGUCUGGCUUCCCAGAUGUCAGUGGCAGAGAAAUCCCUUCUUACAGAGAGAACAUGGAUCUUUAUCACCUCUAUCUUAGCUCUGCUUCUUGGGAUCAGUGCUGUAGGAUACCUGAAACUUGUUUUCAAAUGCAGCUCAGAGAAGACACAAGAAAGUGGUGACUAUCUGUACUAUCCGCUGAAGGAAAUGAAUGGAGAAUCCAGUCAUACAUACACUCCUGCCUCUUGUGGGACAUACAAGGAGGAAGACACUCAGGAUCAAAGCCAACCAGAAGCCAUACCACUCCUUUAGAGUUACGGGCAGGAAAAGACUCCUGCUAUUUGUCCCACAGAUGGCACAGUCUCUCAGCAUGAACAAUGGUCUGAGGGCUGCUUAAGCCUGGAAUGAAAAGCGGAUGAGAUACUCAGGACAGCAAGAAGGGACAGGAUGUGCUGCUCACAACCCUGUGAAUACCUCAGCUAGGCAAUGCCCUUCCUUCUUGCCUUUCCUGAUCAGAAAGCUGCUAGCUCUCAUUUUCUCCCACCUCCACCCUCAAGUCUCCCUGCUCACAACUGAGAAAAAGGAAUGCAGCAGCAACUGCCACUUGAUGGUGGAGAUCAGAGAAAUGCAUUAUAGUAACUGAGGGACACUGAGGCAGGCAGGUGAUAAGCUGGACAGAGACUGUUCUUCUCUACCAAAGCUUCUCUCCUUGCUGUUGCCCCUUCUCCAUGUGAUUGUAUGGAUUGCAUAUUGCACCAGAAGUGCCUGGCUGUUAUAGGUUAGUUGAAAGCCUUUUUUUAAAGGUGGUUUUCUGCAGGUAUGGCAACUGGCAGCAGGCUACUUCUGUCAGUCAAGCUGAUGCUGAUUUAUUAAAUAAAACACUGGUAAAAAUGCUUUUAAAAAAAGAAAGAAAAGUUGCUCUUAGUGCAAUAUGCAGUAUAAUCCAGCUGCUCUUCCUGUUGGCCAGUUAUUGCACACCCAGGGGUUCAAGGCAAAGGUAUGCUGCAUCACGUACUCACCUCUGGCUUGGGAGGGAAGUGCUUUUUCUUUGCCAAUGGUAGAAAUUGUCUGAUACCAGCAGGCACUUUGUAGGGCUCUCUACAUCUUCAAAAACAAUGGAUGAAUUAUGUUUACAACAGGAUCUUACCAGAUCCUAAACAGGACACAUCUUUUGCAUCAAUCCCAAGUUCUAAAGCCAGCAGGGGAUCAUAACUCCUCUUCUCUUCAUUCUAAGUGUCUGCUAAGUGUAGUGCCCAGUCUGCUCUGAGAAUCUGAAGUGACCCCGUAGUUGUAGAACAUCAUAGCCUGCUCACAUGCUACAUCAGGGGAAGUGAAGAAUGUGUUGCCUAGAAGGAAAAAUGUCAUGUCCCCAUGCCAUAGUUGGAACAAUUGCGUUAGAUACCACUUUUGACACAGAUCUGUAGUGCAAACUGAGCCAGGCCCUGAACAUGUGAUUUCACUCCAUUCUUCUGCAACUAUCUCAGAUGGAGAUCAGUUAUUUCAAUGGAAAAAUUAGUUUAAGAUGAGAGGGUUUGUUUAAAAAACCAUGUAAAACUUGCUUCCUCUUGAGGAAAAUAAUUAGCCUUUAAUGUGCCAUUAAUUGCUGCAAGAUGGGGUUACAGUACAUCAGAGCCUAAAUAUUCCAAUUUUUUAUGGACUUUGAUGAUUUUUAUUGCAACUUCAAAGAAGCAAAGAACACAGAAUUUUUGUGCUACACCUAAAGAGAAACCAGCAGACAGAGGGAAGAGAAAAUAGAUGCAGAGAACCAUCAGUGAUCUACUUUCAGCCUCCAUCCAUCCGAUCUCUCCAAACCUGGUCUGGCAGGUUGAGGGGGAAAGUGAACUCCUGCC